UGAGUAGUAGUAGAAGUUCUUGAACUUAAAGAAUUUGGCGGUACAUUAACCUAUUUAAAGGAACCUGUCCUGUAAUCGAUAUUCCCCGUAAAUUUAACCUAGAUUUGUAUUUCCAGCUUGUAUAUCGCUGUCGUAAGAUUAUUUUUUGAGAAAUUUUUCAAUAAUAAGUUUUUAUUUAUGUCAAGUCAAGGUGCAGUUAAUAUCUAGGGUUGAGAUGGGUUACAAUAUGUGGAUAUAGACGGAAAUAUUUUUGUAAUGUUUAUUGAAGGUGGAUUUAAUUGUAAUAUGAGAUUAACUAUUUU
rnacentral:rRNA from 1 species